rnacentral:rRNA from 1 species
AACCUUAUGAAUCACUCUGUGCGGUGGAUCAUUCGGCUCGUGGGUCGAUGAAGAACGCAGCAAAAUGCGAGACGUAACGUGAAUUGCAGGACUUUGCGAACGUUAAUUCUUCGAACGCACAUUGCGGCUUUGGGUUGACUGAAGCCACGCCUGGUUGAGGGUCAGUUGAAAAAACCAUCACCGCUCAUGCGUGUAGCGGUGGAUUGCUCGGAUAACGCUCUCGUAGCGUUAGCGAGUAAAGUCGAGUCCGGAUGUGGCUUGAAGCGAGCGUGUGUGACGCUCCUGGCUUGGACCUAAGCGUGUUGUGAUGCCUGAUUGGCGGCAGUGGACAUGCGUUGGGGCUUCCUGUGCACAUGCACCGCAGUUGCAAAGGCGCAGGUUUCAAAGCUCGAGUCCACGUUUGAAAGCCGCGUCUCAAGCGUCCGGGGUCUAGUAGCAAAGCUGGGAUGUCUUAACACUGUCUCGUGGUAAAGCGAAAGCGUAGACACAUUCGCGUCGUUAUUAAUCAUCGUGCUUGUGUGUUGAAGGCUCGAUCGCGCAAGCGAUUCCUGCCGUAAUCAUGCACGAUGAGAACAAGAUCAUUCUUUUGACCUCAGCUCAGACGAGAUUACCCGCUGAACUUAAGCAUAUUACUAAGCGGAGGAAAAGAAACCAACGGGGAUUCCCAUAGUAACUGCGAGUGAAAGGGGAAAAGCCCAGCGCCGAAUCCCGCCGCUGGUGACGGUGGCGGGAACUGUGGCGUGAAGAUGGUGUCUAUCGGUGUGGCUUGCUCGCGUAAGUUCUCCUGAGUGAGGCUCCAUCCCAUGGAGGGUGCAAGGCCCGUGUCGUGAGCAGCCGUCGCCGAUGUGCGCCAUCAGAGAGUCGCCUUGUUUGCGAGUACAAGGUGAAGUCGGUGGUAAACUCCAUCGAAGGCUAAAUAUGACCACGAGUCCGAUAGCGAACAAGUACCGUGAGGGAAAAUUGAAAAGCACUUUGAAGAGAGAGCGAAACAGUGCGUGAAACCGCUCAGAGGCAAGCAGAUGGGGCCUCGAAGGCAAAGCCGCGAAUUCAGCCGGUGGUCCGUGCGCCGGGCCGGGGUUUGGAGAUUGCAAAACUCUGCCUCGGUUUAGGUGCGUGCGGCUGCUGGUGCACUUUUGCGGCUUGUACGCCACCGCCGUUAGGGAGCGUCCGUGGACCCUGCAUGUGGAGCCUGGCGGCCCUUACGGGUUUUUGCCGGUGUCUCACGGUGGGUGCUUUGCCACGUGUUCGCGCUUUAACCGGUCAUGUCAGCGUGUGCCAGCGUUUGCGCUGACCGUCUGUGCUCCGGUUGGGUCGCGUUGGGAUGACGAGCUUGCUCGGCUCUCUCGCGCUCGAUGGAAUCGCGGGCGGGUUUAGCGUGGCACAUUGCGGAUUCGGUGGCGAGUAGACGGCUGCCCAUCUAACCCGUCUUGAAACACGGACCAAGGAGUUCAACAUGCGCGCCAGUCGUUGGGACUAGAAGCCCGCUGGCAGAGUGAAAGCAAGUCACAGUGUUACGCUGUGUAUUGGCGAGAUCCCGUCACCCGCGGCGCAAGUCGCGGGG